UUUUUUUUUUUUUUUUUUUUGUCUCCUCGUUUUUUUCUUUGUUUUUCUUUUAUAAAAGGUUGGACUGACAUUGAAUUGUUCUUGAUUUCUUGUGUAUCAGUUGCUGCACUGCUUUUUUCUGUUCAUUGUUUAAUCUGAUUUUUUUCUUAACAGAUUAUCAAUAUCCUCCGCUGGCUGAAUAAUCAUCAACCUCUAAUCAUGGUAUGCGUGAACCCAUGUUGUUUGUAUGUGUUUAUUCUAUAGUCAAACAAUGGGUUCUCAUUGGAUCGGUAAUCUAGUAUCUUUAUUCACUUCUGAGAAGUCAUUAUCUGGCAUUGAUCAAUUGAGCUGCAAUGAUUAUGCAUUCGUCACUUGUGAAUGGGAGAGACUUAGAAGGAAGGAUAUUUAAUUCACGAAAUUGUGAUUUUCAAUUGGUAGUAUAGCAGGAAGUUUCUCUUUAUCGUGGUCAAUCAAAACCUUAAUGCCCAUUGGGGAAGGUGCUCGUGAUGUCUAUUGACUUUUAGCUGUCUGUACUGAUGUUUUCUUUGACAACAGUUCACUGUUUGGUUGAACUGAAACAUCAUCGAGUUGGAUUAGCAUGAUGCUAAUAUUGUGGAUGUACAUAUUUUACUGCACAAAUUGACGGUUUUGAUUGCUUAGCUGCUCAGUAGUUGCAAUUGAUGUUUGUUCUCAUGGCUGCAGAAUUCUGAUCAUAAUCAUGGUGACAGUUCAGCCUUUCAACAGCAUUACCGUUGUUACCCAGUUUCUUUCAUUGAAAAGGUCCAAUGUUAUCUCUGCUAUUUUGCUCAUUAAAGUACUUGUACAAAUGAGAAUUAUGAGUUUUUUGGCCGAAGGAAAGUUUCCAGUUUCCACAAGUUUAGUAGUAGUAUUGGUUGUGUGAUGCCUUAGAGGCCACGAUUGAUUGAGGUGAUGCUUGUGAGCCUAAUGAAGCUGCUUCAUUAGGCAUGGAGCACUUGAUUUCUUUCCUUAUCCUGAGUGUUUUAGUCUUUUCUGCAGCUCUAAAUGUUGGGUUGUGUGGUUUACUUCUUUUACUUUGAUCUUUUGCAGUCCCAUCUGGAAAAGGGUGAUAAAAGUAUGUUCGUGUCCCUAAAAAAUGUCUAGAACUGUAAAUUUUCAUUUUGUGUUUUUGAAUUUUAUUUCCCUGACACUGAUAUACAAGUUUUCCAUCCCUUCAGUUAUAAUGCCUCCUUCAGCUCUUGAUCGUCUUGGUAUGUCAAAUUACUCUUUCCUAAUACGUCUUCUCUCCUGUGCAUUCUUGUGCCAGUUAUUUCUUUAAUUUGCUUUUGGUCAAAAUGCCUCCAUCAAUGACUGAAAAAUCGUUUGUUGCCUUUUCAUUCUUACUGCAGCUUACCUACAGAUUGAAUAUCCUAUGUUAUUUGAACUGAGUAACCCCUCUGCUGGUAGAGUUUCUCACUGCGGGGUGCUAGAAUUCGUUGCAGAUGAAGGCCUUGUAUACAUACCUUAUUGGGUAUUAGCUUUGAUGUAUUGAACUUCUUCAGGUUUAAGCUGACUUUCUUUUUUCCUUCUGAAUAUUAUUUUGGCUACCUAUAAUUGUAGAUGAUGGAAAACAUGCUUCUGCAAGAGGGGGACAUUGUGCACAUCAAGAAUGCCAGUUUGUCUAAGGGAACAUAUGUGAAGUUGCAGCCUCACACCACAGACUUCUUAGGUGUAUCCAAUCCAAAAGCAAUGUUAGCCUUACUCCUUUCCUGCUCAGUUUGGCCUGUCAUUUUUUAAAGUUGAUAUGGGAUUUAUUAAAGUCUGUCUUUUGUUUGAAGCUUGGAGACAACUUUAAGGAACUACUCUUGUUUAACAACUGGUGAUACCAUCAUGGUUGCGUAUAACAAUAAGAAGUUUUACAUCGACAUAGUAGAAACAAAGCCCUCCGCAGCAAUUAGCAUUAUUGAAACUGACUGUGAAGUUGAUUUUGCCCCUCCUUUGGAUUAUAAAGAACCGGAAAAGCCAGAAAAGCCUUCCCUGUCUAACAAGGUGCCGCCAGAAGGUCUAUGUCUGAUUGAGUUAAUUUUCUGAGCAUAGAAUUUACUUUUUCCCAUGAUAUUGGAAGUUAUGUUUUCUGACAAAUGUUGAAAAAUGCAUCCAUUAGUGGAUGAAGAGCCAGCCAAGAAAAUACCGAAGUUCAACCCAUUUAGUGGUUCAUCAAGACGCUUGGAUGGAAGACCUGCAUUGCAGUCACCUCCAUCAACUUUCUCUCCUGUGCCCAAACAGCAGCAUAAAGAGGAUACUGGCGGGACAAAUGUUCUAACUUCAUCUGCUUCUACCUCACGCCAGUUUUCGGGGAAACUUGUUUUUGGUUCAAAUGUGGAAAAUUCUUCAAGUGGAAAACAAAAAGUAAAUUUCAUCUGUCUAACUUAUGUACUUUUCUUUAUUCUAUGAUGUAUGAAAAAGUAUUUCUUUCAAUCUAACUGAAUACAGGAAGUCUGCCUUGCAUGUAAUUGAAUAUUUCAUCUGAUUAUAUUGGCUUGACAUUGUUAUUACUAUAGGCUGCCUCAAAGGAGAACAAUGAAGAUUCUGUUCCGAAGGCUGAAGCAAAAUUCCAAGCAUUCACAGGGAAGAAGUAUUCACUGAAAGACUAAAUCUAGUUCCUCCAUUUGCUCCUUUGUUUUAUGAAUCUCUACUUAUUUUAGUUAUUUUCUGGAGUGAGGCAUUCCUUGGAUUCUGAAAAUCCUCUCUCGAUGCAAGUAGAGUUUCUUGAUAUUUUGGAUAAGCUGUAAAUUCAAUUGACUUGUACAUAAACCACGACUCUCUACUACUAUUGCAGCUCCAUAAAAUCCCAAAGGUUAGAAAGUACGAUAAUUCAAGUUGUGGAGCACAUAAUCUUCCUUUAUUGAACUUCUUCACCUCAUCUUCUCUUCCCUUCUCCCUACCGUGCAAGUGUGGACUGCCAAAACACAGGCAGCUGAAAGAAUUCAUGUUACAGUCAUCUUGUGUGUUGAAAUAAAUGUUCAAAACUACUUGAUAUGCAGGGGAUAGGAUAGGCUCGGGAACAUCAGGCACAGAAGGAUCUACAAACUUGCUUAUACAUUCAUCAGUGUUGCGCAUGCGAUCAAAUUAAGAAUUUUCUUUCGUAAUCCUUACCCCUAUAGAUUAUGGAAUUUCAAUUACUAUCUAUAUAUACUUGCUAGCGGAAAAUUUGCAGCCUGGAAAUAUCUUUGCGAAGCAACGGAAAUGAAACUACGUAGAACCGAGAGUUAAUAACAUCGUAUUUCUGGUUUGUUUGAUCAUGAGUUAACAAGAGGCACCAUUUGGUUAUUUGAAGCGGUCGGAAGAUGUCUUCCUCAGUAUCGAAAGGUACUUAGCAUUAGGAAUCAGUGUUUGACAAAUGUUGGUGCGAAAUUAUCUGUCAAAUAUCUAUCCACCACAAUCCAGGCAGAUUUGCCGGAGAAUGCUGUGAAAAACAAGAACUGACGAUAACUUGACCGCUGCUAUGCUUGUAGUUUACAUCAGAUUGAUCAAAGAUAUCAGCCUUCAUUAAGGGGUCAUGUUUGCUAUUUUCUUAAUUUCUUCACUUUUUUGACUUCCUUUCUACGAUUGAAACAGAGAUUAAGUAGUUUAUAACUAACCCUGACAAAAUUCAAUCGUGUUGACCAUUCUAUACUGAACCCAGAACUAAGCACAAUGAGCUGUCUACCAAUUAGUACUACUAAGACGGGAUAUGCUCUGUUACCCUGGGCAGCUGGCCGGCUUCGAGCUCUACUUGUAUUUUGCUGAUGCUGUAUAGUGUAGAGUCCUUUCCAUUUGUUCAGUCUAUGCUGCACAUUGACUCUGCACUUGGUCCAGGGAGUUGCUAUUAUGUGAGGUCAGAAAGGUUAUGGUGGACAGCAGAAAAUAUCGAGGAGAAGGCAAUGAUACAGGAGGAAAUCCGGACAUUUGUCUAUUUCACAGUGAUUGUAAUUCACCUAAUUCAAGAGUAUGAAAGUUAUAUCUGAACAAAACCAGAGUUUUCUAUUCAUAGGGGAAACUCGUGCGAGGAAAGACCAAAUCCCUGAAUGUAACUCAAUCCCUCGACGACAUGCACUAAUCCAAUGGUUAUUUUAAUUCUAGAAAUCCAAACAACUGUUGAUGAUUAAGUAAAUAGUGGGAUGGCUGAUGUAUGUUGAUUUAUACAACGUAUGCAUAAUACAGUAAUGUCUUGUUCCUAAUUCAAGAAAUCAUACUAGUACGUAAUAUUUCAAGAGACGGACAUUGCUAUUUUUACACCGUUUUAUGUCUCGAACUCGAGUUCUAACUUCUGCGGAAACGUUACAAAAUCAAGAGUCGGUACCUACUGAGACAAUUAGUCAAAUAAGGCCACCAGAGGGAAAUAGGUGCAUUUUUGAGAGCCAAGCCUCCUUAUUUCCUCCGUAGAGCAUAACGUGAAGCCGCACGAGCCGUUGAUAACUAAUAAGUACUAUCUUUUUAUGGAGACAGGGAGUUGAUCAAGAGCCGAAUCAGAAGUAGUUUAACAGUCCAACAUUCCAAAAUUCUAGCCUAGUGGGUGCACCCAAUCCUUCUUGUGGUUGGACUAAGUUGCCUGAUAGUAUUAUCUUUCAGGGCUCUGCUGACUCCCAACCUAAUCUACCCAAUGAACCCAACACCUUUUUCCUUCUCACCCUUAAAAUAUUGUCCAUCAAGUUUUCGCUUUCAUUUCGUUUCCCUCUUCGAUGUACUAUAAAUAGCUCUUUCGUCAUCAGUCUAAUCAAGCAACAUUACAAAGUUUUCACACUUCCUUUCUCGUUAAGCCAAGAAAGGUCAUUACAGCAGCAAUGCAGGGUCAAAGUAGUGGUGUGAUGAAGCCAUGGUCCAAUGCCCUAUUCCUAAUCAUUCUAGCCUUACUUGGCUUUGCAAUUUCAUUUGCAAAUGCAGAAACUCUACCAUGACUUUGUUGUACGUCUUUGCCUUCUACAUUUUAGUUUCUAGUUUUACUUUUCUCCUUCAAGCCUUUCGUCUUCUGUUUUUUAAAGAGAAGAAAAAAAAAAAUUUUUUUCCUAUCAUAAUUCAUGCAUUGGUGAAACAGGUUGAAGCAAAGCCAGUGAAGAGGCUGUGCAGAACUCAUAACAUAAUUACAGUGAAUAAGAAAUUCCCAGGACCAACUCUGACCGUACGAAAUGGAGAUACUCUCGUUAUCAAAGCCCUAAAUAGAGCUCGUUACAAUGUCACUCUCCACUGGUAAUUUUCUUUUGAAUAAACCACUGUAAAAUACUGAUACCAAAAUCCUCGAUAACGUUGCAGUACUUUGAUACAGAAACUGGAAAACAAAUACUAGUAGGAGUAUAACAAUUAACAAUACUUCUAUUUUAUAUCUGUUGUAUUCUUCAUUAGGCAUGGGAUUCGCCAAAUGCGAACGCCGUGGGCAGAUGGUCCAGAAUAUGUUACCCAGUGCCCAAUCCAGCCAGGAGCAACUUACACAUACCGAUUCACCAUUGAAGAUCAAGAGGGCACGUUGUGGUGGCACGCUCACAGCAAAUGGCUCAGAGCUACUGUCUAUGGAGCCCUUGUGAUCCUUCCUAAACUGGGAUCCCCAUAUCCUUUUCCCAAGCCCAGGCAUGAAGUCCCUAUUAUUCUUGGUAAUUCUUUCAGUUCCCUCUGUAAGUUGAUAGUCUGUGUUGUUUUCACCAAGUUUAAUUAACGUAAAAUGGUAAAAUUCGACAGGAGAAUGGUGGGACAGAGACAUCAUCAGUGUUUUAAGACAAGCUCUUUUCACUGGGGCUGCUCCAAACGUUUCUGAUGCUUAUACCAUCAAUGGUCAACCGGUGACCUAUAUAGAUGCUCCAGUAAAGGUUGCUACUUCUUCGUACCAAGAAUCCGCCUUUUGUAGAAAAGAAAGCUGAGCACUUGAAUAAAUAAAUGCCUUAACCUCAAAUUAUAUGAUACAGGUACUUUCAAAGUCUCGGUGAACUCUGGGGAUAGAGUUCUUCUCAGAGUCAUCAAUGCUGCACUCAAUCAACAACUCUUCUUCACCAUUGCCAACCACCAGCUAACGGUUGUCGGAGCCGAUGCAAUUUACCACAAGCCUUUUGCAACCAGAGUCAUCAUGCUAGGGCCAGGGCAGACGACGGAUGUCCUUCUUACCGCCAAUCAACGGCAGCAAGGUACUACAUGGCUGCGCGUGCUUAUGCAUCAGCACGAGGUGCCCCGUUUGACAACACCACCACCACUGCUAUUCUUGAAUACAACACAGCGAGAGGAGGAUCGUCCUCCACCUCAAGACCUCUGUUGCCUCGACUCCCAGCCUUCAACGAUACGGCCACUGCGACUGCAUUUGAAAACGGAUUAAGGAGCAUCCCUUCCGAGGCUGCUAAAGUUCCCACAAAGAUUGAUCACAGCCUAUUUUUCACUGUGGGAUUAGGCUUUGUAAACUGCAAUCCUGGACCUAGAUGCCAAGGACCAAACAAUACAAGAUUCGCAGCCAGCAUGAACAAUGUAUCGUUCGUGCUCCCUAGGAGGACUUCCUUACUCCAAGCCUAUUAUAACAACAUACCUGGAAUCUUCACCACCGACUUCCCUCCGGUUCCACCAUUGCAAUUCAAUUACACAGGCAAUGUACCGCGCUCACUGUGGCAACCUCGGUUUGGUACAAAGCUGUACAAGCUGAAAUAUGGUUCUACCGUACAAAUUGUGUUACAAGAUACUGGCAUAUUCUCGACGGAGGACCACCCUAUUCAUCUUCAUGGGUACCAUUUUUUUGUCGUGGGACAGGGCUUUGGAAACUUCAAUCCUCGGAAGGAUCCUGCAAGAUUUAACUUAGUUGAUCCCCCUGCCAGGAAUACAAUUGAUGUCCCAGUGGGUGGAUGGGCAGUGAUUCGUUUUGUGGCUGAUAAUCCAGGUAGUAUCUUCUUUCUUAACAUGUUUUGCACAAAAGGAUCAAUUUCUCAUUACGUAUUUGACUGAGAGAAGUAUCUUCAAUUUGAAUUAAAAAAAAAAAAAAAAAACAGGUGUUUGGCUAUUUCACUGUCACAUAGAUGCCCAUUUGACUUGGGGAUUGGCUAUGUCAUUCCUGGUUGAAAAUGGAAUAGGAGAAUUGCAGACCGUAGAGCCGCCUCCAGCUGAUCUUCCCCGAUGCUAGAUCCUGCAUGUAAUCUUCAGACAAAUGCUGAAGAUGGAAUCAUAUCUACAAGUGGAACACUUGGAAUUCUCAGAGAAACCCUUUAAUUUAUCUUAUCUUAACAUGCUUUUGGUCACCAGCAUUAGCUGUAUUUUCUCUCUUUUUUCUUUUUCAGUUUAUGCGAGUCAGAUUCGUAACAGCAAAAUCCAGAUUCUUUUUUCUUUGCUUAAUUCGGCAGAGAGUCCGGGAGUCUUGAUUCCAUUAUUUGUAUGCCCCAAAGAAAGAAGCGUUUAUUUGUAAUUUGUAACCCUGUCUUCUAUCAGUUGAAAGUGAUGAAAAAAAACUGGAAUGUCUUUUAUGCUUUAUAUAUUUAUUAAUUAUUACUAUUUUAUUUAAUUAUUUAUUUAGAUCUCCAAUUUCGCAAGGUUGGAGUAAUGGCCUUCGAGGAUGCCGGACACGUAUAUAUGUAUAGGCUUCUCAUCUGUGACCUUCAGUUCAGGCUUUAAGCAACAAAUGCUUCCUUUUUGCAAUUGUUUGAGUAUAUUUGCACAGGAGGUUGUUUGGGAUAAUUUUUCUGAUGUAAUAUAUGCGAGAUAAAAAAAAUGAUUAAAAUAUAUGUUUAUAAUGCAAACAGAUUUUGUAUAAAUAAUUUGCUAUCUAAACACAUUCGAUAAAACUUUUCAUUUAUGUGCCCAGAAAGUUAUUCAAUAGAGCUUUUCAAUCAUGUGGCUAAAAAGGCUUUAGUCUAAAAACUUAAGUUGAGACUUCAAAGUUAGAAGUUCUGAAUUUUAAUCCCACUUCUUAAAGCCCGAUAUCCCACCCUUCUCCUCCUAUAGGGGAGGGAAAAAAAAAAAAACUUUUCAAUCAUGUGCCGUAAAAUUGAAGUGCAGCAUGACCUUUUCCUCUAUAUUCCAUCCCAAGGGGGAAAAAAAAACUUGCACAAAGAGUAAAGCAACUGUAACAGGCUUUGAGAACUAACCGUAAAAAAAAUAAAUAAAAGCUAUAAAGAAGAUUUCAGAAUGUCAAUUAUAAGUUACAUAUUAACUGUGUGUCAGAUUUAGCCCUCUUCUUGGUUUCUUAAAUUUUCUAGAAAAACGAAUCAACUCUUACGCGGUAGAAUGUUUGAUGAAGAGAACACGUUUAUUGUUUAACAAGAAAUAAAAGUGAAAAUAAUGUUGGGUUUUUCUAAUCGGUGUUUUUAGGACACAACCAAUGUUCACUAGUUAACCUCGGAGCAAUACAACAUCUACUAAUCGGAGUUCCUGAUUGAAUGCUGAAGGAGAACCACGGGAUGCCCUUCAUAAGUUCACCUGAAAGAGAGGCAACCCUGUAGGCCAGUUUUCUACUUGUCAUCCAAGGACUCAGGAUCGGCCGGCUGUCGUUAACAUGAACUUCAAAAAUUAGCUCUGGGCAGCUAUCUUCCCAUGUCUAUAUUAAGUAAUAUAAUCCAAAUUGGUAAACAUCAUUUACAGGACAUCUAUUCUCAGCUCUCAAGCAGAAGGCAACAGCAUAGCCAACUCAACCACAAUAUUUCGUGUAAAAAGUUCAAGGUGUGUUGAAAAGUUAUCUUCUUUCCGCCCAGGGAACAAAAGCCAUUGGCUCUAGAGGCUUAACUUUUGCCAGAGGCCAUCGAACCAGAGUAUGAUAACAUGCACACUAAUCAAAGAUCCAAUAAGUUGAUAGAUACCCUGAAAAGUUCACGGCUUGCUCAGAACUUUGAUUUAAACUGAGGAAGAAAAAAGCAAUUCACUUUCUGCUUGAUGUUAAAGAACGAAAUUAGAGCGAGAGAGAAUUGGGUUCUUUUGACACAAAUUAUAACAAAUCAGAAAGCAGGGGGAAGGGGAGGUGAUCAUUAACUCCCUCCAGCUUAGCUCUUUCAAUUGGAAACAAACUUCAAAAGCCACUUCAUUUGUUUACAGCUAUAUUGCUCUAUUUUUUUUCUUUCUUUUCUUCCUCCUUCCUAAAUUAUUUUUCCAAGUGUAAGGUAAACCAUGUGCAGAACUACGUACCCCUGUAAUCCUUCAGAGUGUAUAGGAUAAUACUUCUGAAAUCCUUUCCUUGGAUGGAAAAAACUUGAUUGCUUAGGUGCCAAGAUCCGUUUUCCUACCUCAUCAGAAGAGGUCUCAAGACCACAUUCAUUGCAGAAAGACUCAACGUCCGAUUCCUAGUUGAGACAUACAGGAUAAUCAAACAUUCUGAAACAAAUUCUGCAAAAAGCUGCGUGUAACAACAAUAUUCACCUGCAACAAAAGGAGAUUUGAUAGGUCCGCCAGCGGAAAAGGUUGCAGCUUGUAUCCUGCCUGAUUUAAACAGCUUACGCUAGUGCCCGAACCUUUAGUAGGGACAAACUAUUUGUGUUCAGGGAAAAAAGAAGAAGGAAAAGAGGGAAAAUUACAGAGCACCAAGAAUAAACCACUAACCAAGACCACUUCACAGAUUCAAGUGAACUUGUAUGCUUUGGACUAUGAGCAAGCUGCAUUGUCAAUUAUGUAUACAGAAACUAGAUGAUUACCCUAAUUCAACAGCUUUUUGCACCGUACAAGAAAACCUCCCCAUACAAAGAAAGCAAAAAUACAAAUCUGAUGUUUCUGUAAUCACUUCUUUUUAACAACUUUAUAAGAUCAAACAAGAAGAAAGACUGAAGUUGUGUGAAAUUCUCUCAACACAAAGUCCUGCGCUAUUUAACAGAGAUAAUUUUGUGCAAUGAAAUGAUCCGGAUUCCCCAUUGGUUUCCAAAAAGUAAAGAAGGCGAAAUCCAAAUAGAAAAAAAUGUUAGAAAAAGAGAGAUAUCUACUCAUUUUGAAGACAAAAAAGAAUCUAGAUAAACCUCAUUGAUGUAAGGCUCAACAAUACAGCACUGGAGACAGGAUGCUUCGCUCUUCAUCAUAUACAUAAACCUCUUGUAAUUGCCCAAGCGAAAGUAUCUACAUGAGGGUAGAAAAUUAAAUAAGAUCCAACUGGUCAUCUACUUACUAAAGUAAUCACCUCACUCUUACCCUCAUUUUUGCUUUACUCUGCCCAAUAUUCUUUCACCACCUUCCAUAUGUAUCUAAUAGUAAAAGCAGAAAAGUCUAUCAACUCUACCUUACCUCAAAAGAUUCCUGGCAAAGCACAUCUGCUUUGAUUUCAUAAUUGCAGAGGGGAGAUUGCGGAACCACAAGGACAAGGGCUCACCCUGCUGGUAUAAAAAAAAAAUCUUUAUAUUCAAUACCAGAUCGAGAGGAAUUAACAUAAACCCCUUAACAGCAGCAAUUUUAGGAGAUAAAGCAAUUACUUUGCUGUCGGGAUGAAUUUGGAGAAGAACAUAAAAUGAACAGAAUUCAGGCUCAUUGUCAUAAAUAGAAUGUGAUAUCCGAUUGGUUUCGUAAAGAUUAAACAGUGUCAUCAACGACUUUGUUAGCUGCUCCAAGUUGAGGUAAAGCAGAGAAGAAGCAUUCGGACUGCUGCUAGAUCUAUGCAGCUUCUGAUGGGAUAUAAUAUGAAAUUUAACCUGUAUGACAAAUGACAUUAGAAAUUCAUGCUAUCACAAUGACACCAAUCAGCAAAAAACUUGUAAGUAUCGAUCAAUAAGCGUACCAUUCUCUCAUACAUUGUGAUUGCUCUAUUAUUGGAGAUAUUCUGCAUACUUAGAUCUUGCCUUAUGGAUCUUGUUCUAUCAAAGAUAAAGUCAUGAACGACCUCGAAAGGAUGAUCACUUGAAUGAAAUAAGUUGAAGAGGUGGUUCAGAGUUCCUUCCAACACUGAGAGAGGCCGCACAUCAGAAACUUGUAUCUCUCUAGUUGAAAUUGUUCUGCAAAACUAAUAAAAGAUAAAAUUGAAGAAGUUUGUGUUGAGAAUGGAACAUCGAAAUCUUCAAAUGUCAGCCCAGUCAAAUAUCGAAAUAUUCAAAUGACAGCCAAGUGAAUCAAAUCCAAAACACAAAUUAACCUAAUGAGAUGAAACCCUUUCAAGAACCAUUGUUUUUCGACAAAUAGCACUUAAAUUGAAAAGUAAAGAAAAGGCUGAGAUUUUUGAGCUACCAAUAUAAAAUGCAAAUUGAUGUCCUCAGUUGAAAUCUCAAGACAUUUUAAAUGCAUGUUUCCAAGACUAUUAUCUUUCUAUUAUUUUCUUCAUCUUGCUUUGAAAUCUUAGUUUCAGGACCCUAAGAGGAAUAACAAUAGGUAUUACAAGAAUAAAGCAGUAACAACAGCGCUGCUAGAAAGUUGCAGAAUGAUUACCUUUUUAACAGCAAGAUUUGAUGAUGAUUUCCCUGGAUUCCCAUCAAGCCUCUCAAAUGUGGCUAAAUCUCGUAGCCUCUCACGUUGUAACCUCUCCUCAACUGCUUAUACCCCCGCCCCCCCCCCCCCCCCAACAAAAAAAAACACAAAAAAAGCAACAAAAAAAAACUGACAUUUAGCGCAAUUUGAUUCAAGAACUACAAGGGGAAGAAAGGAAGGGAGAAACCAAAGAAAAGUAAUAUUAACAAAGUAGUUAACCAACCAACCUGGGCACAUAAAAGGGCAAGUUCCAACUAAGCUGGGAAGAUUAUUUUCUUCAUCAAUAACAUCAGCAGCAUCCUUAAUCCAACUCCUGUUGUCAGAAUUAUCCUUGACAUUCCCAUUAGGAUUGUUAAACGAACUAUCCAUAUGUUGUGAAUUUCUUCUGAUGUUGAGGUUGCAGUUUUGAGGAGGUUGAUAACGGGUGGCGGAUUUAGUGAAAAAGGAAGAACGGGAAGAGGACAAAUUUCUUCUUGUUACUCCCCCUUGCCUGUCGAAAGGGUUGACCACGCUCCGCCAUAUGUGUUGCCCUGCUACACAAACUCUAACCUGCAUUUGAAACUACAUUAAAAGUACUAUCAACUAUCUGAUAAUUCUUUACAAUGAGGAUGUUUAUGCGAAUCUCUUUUGUGUCAGUUGGAUUAAGUUGCCAGCAUGUCACUGUUUCCUCUAAGCUAACUGUAUGGACAUCUUUGCACUGGUUUGCAAGUUAAACAUGUGGCAACAGUUGUGAAGAUCAGAACCACUUUGCAUUACCAAGUCAGUAACUUUAACCAACUUCAGUAUUCUUGACACUAAUGCUUGGAUACAACUUCUUUUAUUGCUUCUACAAUUAUUAUUAUUAUUAUUUGGAUGGACUGCUAGAACCAUAUUACACAGCGCCCAUUAAAAUUUAGCAAAGAUUCUAAAGAGCCCAGCUUUUGCUAGGACACAAAUCAAAAAACAAAUUGAGAAACUAAGGAGAAAAAGAAGAAACAAAAAACUGCCUCAUCAAAUAAGGGAUAAUCUAAGUUUCUAUAUUCCAAAAGGCAAAGGUCAACAUCUGGUUGUUACUACAGCAAUAGUAAAAUCCGAAGCACUAUACUAUCUUCUUACGGAUGCGAAGCAGGGCCGCGGGUGGCCGGUGGGGAACUGAGAUAGGAAACUUGAUUAUAGCUUCGGGCCGGCGCUAUUGCCACAGCAAUUUUUAUCAAAUCCCUUAUUAGGAGCUCCAAGGAAUUAAUGCAGAAGCUGCCCCGUAAAUGUUACAAAGGGUUGAUGAACUCAAUUGACAAAAUCAAUCGCUGGAUGAGCUUCUCUUAUGCGUAUCCCGUAUUCGUGAAAAGCAUCAGAUUGAAGCCCAUUAGAGACGAGAGUGAUGGAACCGAACUGGUAGAAGAAUAAUGCUCCCCGUCUUCAAGCUGGGGCUGGGGUUGAUUGUGGAGUUACUGCAUAAUCAGAGGAAGAUAAAAGGAGCGUGUUGAAGCACAAGUACGGGUAUAAGAUUUUGGUUAAAUUACGCUAAAGCUCCUCUACUUUAUAAACUAGUUCCAUUCUGCUACCUUCAAAGAGUUCAAACUUAAAUCAGCCCAUUUUGACUUUAUAUCACGAUUAAGAGAGUGCCUUUUUUUUUUUUUUCCCUUUUCAAGUGUAAGUGGGUGGAUUUGAACUCGAGAUCUUUUACUUACAUUUCCUUCACCUAAAUCACCUAACCCAUCUCUCUUCCCAAAUGUACUGUUUUCUAUGAGUUAUUAAAACAAUUAUUGGAGUUUGACUAAGAUUUAUGUGAAGAAGGAUUACUAGAUUACAUUCAUGUGAGGGCUUGCUGUGUUUCAGUAAAGGAAUCACGCUUUACUUUGAUGCCCAAUUUGUAAGGCAUUAAAGUUGAGACUUGGCUUCAGACUUAAUGUGUUCGAGUAUCUUAGCAUCUCGGACACCCUUACCAUAUACUAAUCCAAGUGGAGCAUAAUAGCAUGCAGAAAUGUAUAGAUUAGAAGAAUUUGGUCAAUCUGUGAAGUAUAAUGCUGGAAGGCGCAAAUUAUCAAGUCAAAAGGCAUUGUACUUGUGACGAUGACAGAAAAUUCCUGGUUCACAUUUACGCAUCAUAGCUGCUCGACCCAAAGAUGUGUCAAAAAGAAUCAAUAAUCUGAGAUCAUGUUGGGGAGGUCAAAAGCAGUGAUCUUGUUUGCAUCGAUCAUGAUUAGUUCUAGCCAAGGUUGUAGAGCAAGCAUCAGGAAGGACUAACCAAGCAUUAGCAGGACACAUUAGGCAAUUAUCAUUGGCAGAGUAUUCAAGAAACAGCAGUAUUGCAGAAAAGGAAUACAAAGUACAUGACUAGACUUGAAACAGACUCUUUGAUCACAUUACAAGACCCACAUCCACUGAUAAAAGUAUUAACAGGCAUGGUGAGAUCCUAGUCAGAGGGGAAACUAUGGAUCUUGAUGCCCUCAAGAAUUAGAGAUUUAAGCUCUAACUGGAGUUUCAAUUGCAGCUUUUUCAGUGGAGCAAACAUCUGAUGCUCCAAUUGCUUCCCAUAGCUCAGGCAAUGCCUCUCUCAUAUUGUGGAUGCUUUCAAGUGCAUGAUCUACUCCAGUUGUUUGGUGAGAGGAUCCGACCUAUUUUCAUACCAGAGAAAUUUAAACAGCAUAGUCCGUCAAAUUGAGAAUCAUAUGAAGUGCUCCUUGUAAAAUUCAAAACUUCUCUCUUGCUUACCCAAAUGGUAUGGAGCCCUGUACUCUUUGCAGUCUUAAGAUUACGAAUAGAAUCAUCAAAGAACAACUACAGACGAAAGAAGAUACAAAAUCAAACAAUCUAAUGAGAAACUCAUAAACCAAAGUAUAGAUCAUAUUUAGCAUCAAUACGAAUUACAAUAAUCAGAUUUGAAGAGGCUUAUAGUCUUACAGUCUUCUCAGGGUUCAUCCCAGCUAUCUUAAAAGCCUUCUCAAAGGCCUCCUCAAAUGGUUUGCAGAUAACUGGAGUCUUUGGGAUUUCUGAAACUGCAUAGACAGUACAAGGGACUGUUGACAUAAUUCCAAUUUACGACUCUUAAGGAUGUCGGUUUAAUAUCUAAAACUCACCAUCAUCAUCAUUUGGUUCACUGCUAUUGUGAGUAGGAUUUAAAGUCUCAAAACAAAUGACUCCGUCAAAGCAGUCCUCUAAUCCAAGUCUACUAACUACCUGAGCGACAUGGGCUUCAUUUCCAUUUGAGAAUAUCUAUUUUGCAAUCAUCAAUGAAGCAUUGUCAGAGGAGAGAGGGCACUGACGCUUAGAAAUGCUGCAUGAUUUAAGUUUGCAGGAGAAACUUACCACUUUGCGAAUCGGCAAGCUGUGCAGAAGGUUCCUUAAGACUGGAUCAGGCUUUAACAUCUCAUAAGGUAAUCGUCCAUGUACAAAACUGUAAGCCAAGAUCAUGUGAGACGAAAUGCUUCUGAUUCACAACCUAAUAUAAGGAUAAAUAGGAGGUGUAUUUGUACCUAUGAUAGUCAUCAUAGUCAAAGUCGUAACCAAUGGCCUGGACAGGGACAAAACAUAUCAAACCAGAAACAUUAGCCAUAUCAGCACAUAGUACAUUUGAGACUAUUUUGAUCCUAUUCUAAGGUGAAAAUCAUACCCUCAAACCAGCCAUUGUUGUUCCGUAAUCCUUGUAUAGUUGCAAUGCCAUUUCAGUAACAUUGGUCUGAUCUAUGCCAAGCUUUGUGACCAUAUACUCUUGAGAAAGACAUCCACAGAAGAGGCAAAUUACUACAGAGUUUAAGAUGAAUUUGGUGGGCGAGGACCAUACUUGUUAACUAUGCAUAAGAUAUAUAGCAAUGACUCAUGAUGUGUUACCAGCAAUGUUUUUUGUUAUUUCUGCAGAAAUCCCAGAGCUUAGAGGAUAAAGGGUAUCAUCAACAUCUGAAAAUUCAAGUGCAAGCAAGUUUUAAGAUUCCUUAUAACAGCAUUUUAAACAUUUACUACAGGAUUACAUAUACGGAAAGAAGACUUACCAAACAGAACGCAUUCAUAUUUUUGCCCUGAUACUUGCUGGUAGCUAUCUUUUUCCAUUUCGAACCCAAAAAUUUUCAACAAUCUAAUUAAUUCAAAGCAGAAAACAAUCUUAUAAGGUUAAGUUGAAGCACCAGAAAACUAUCCAAAUGACAUUCUCCUUGUGCAUAAAAUAGAAAUCAUGACAAUUGCACAAAUCAAUACACAUAACAAGCAAUUGUAUGGCUACCCCAAUCUCUGCAUCAGUUUCGAAAGGUCUGAAUCCCCUCCCACGGACGAGGGAGAAGAUGAUGGACUUCUAUCUAACAGGAGAAAAGCCACAAUUCAGCAAAUGAAACUUUCAAGUAACAAUAGUGACAGGACAUAACCCAAAACAUAAACCAGGUGUCUGGCACAAUAUUGGAAUUGGACUCCUACUGAGACAACAAGUGAAAACCAAGCAUCAAAAGUCUGAACUGCAAAUAAACUCCAUUAGACACUUUAAUCUCACCAAGAAAUGAACAAAAUAUCUCUCAAUGAAAGAUCCUUAGAAAGGCCAAAACUAUCACGCGCGCAAGUACCAAUAAUUGAACAAAACAUGUCUUAGUGACAGAUGCUUAGAAAGACUAAAAUCUAUCACUCACGCAAGUGUGUUGUUGGUGAGAAAAAAUCAUGCUUUGUAACCGGACUAAUCAUUCAUGGCAUAACCAUAAUACCAGAAGUUUGAAGAAAAGACAAUAAACCUAAACAGAGUACCAGCAUUACACCCAUGAAUCAGUUCCUAGAAAAGACAACUCCUUGCUCGAAUAAUUACAUUUAUCAAUACCCGUACCAAUGCUUCUAACCAUAGCACUUAAAAAAGAACCAUACUAAUAUUACAAUGUACCUACACAAAAUCUAGAGCAACAGUUUCGACUUACACAUAACUCAUACUAUAUUCUUAAAGCAUAAAUCCAAGAUGAACUAAAGCCUCAACGAGCACAAUAUUUUUUAUCAACAACACAAAAAGUUGCAAUCUUUACAAUUUAUACCACGUUAAUGAAAAGCAUCGGCGGUACCAGAUUCAAUGAAAGAGUGACCCACUGAAGCAAUGAAGGCUAAGAACAUUACCAGAUUCAAGCGAGACGAUAGGUUAAGAAACUGCCCGCUGCAAGAGAAAAAAUUAUCAAGACGUAGAAGAAUCGAAAGAAAGAUGAACGAUUACUUAAUGCCAAAGAAUGGAACGGAAGCAGUACAAGGGGAAAUUGAAGAGAGGACUGUUCUUAAAUAGUCCGCGUCGAAGACAUAAAUAGCAGUUAGAAGUUAGAACGUUUUCUUUGCAAUUCAAAUGGGGUUAAUCUCAUGAACCUCCUCAAGGUUCAUCCUAAUAUCACCUGAAGCUCUCAAAGUUUCAAAAAUUUCACUUACCUCCCAUUUUAAUUAAUGUGACUAGAUAUACCAAUUAGAGGCAUUGAAAUGACGAAGUUACCCCGAAUAUUUUCCUACUUUUUUAAGUCGCAAAAGGUUGGAAAAGAGAAAAAAAAAUCCUACAUGCUAAAAUAUCUAAAAACAAAUCUAAGAUAUUUUUCUCCCACUUUGUUGUAAAAAUCUUUACUUUUAAUAUUCGUCUUUGCCACAACUGAUCUCUUAAAAUUUUCAUCAUAAUUUCCCUCUUCAUAACAAAUUUUUUGUGUCUCUUUGCUAUAAAAUUUUUACUUUUAAUUUCUUCCUCGUUGCAACCAAUCUCUUGAAAUAUUUGCCUUUUUAUAAUGUUGACGUAGCUUUAGAAAUUAUCCUUACACACAACAGUAUUAUCUAGUUACUUAUUACAUUUACACUUUCUCAUAUUUUAAGUUUAAUAUUCCAUCUUAUUUGUCUUUUUUCAUACUUCAAAUUUCAUAAAUCAAAUUAUAAGAUAAUAUAAUCUCUCUUCUCCAAUGCAUUUCUUUAAUAGGAUUAAUUACACUUUGCCCCUUGAACGUAGGCCCUUGUAACACUUUGCUCUCUAAAUUCCAAAUAUAUACACUUUAUACCUUGUGGCAAACUUUUUGAUGGGUUAAAAUGAUAUUAUAUUUUUCAUGACCAAAAUAUCCCUGACUAAUUCUUAAGUACACAUAAUAAUUGUAACAUAAUAAAUACCUAUUUAUUUAAUAGUUGCUAAAUGUAUCUAAACACAAUUAUGCUAUACAUUUUGAACUUUUAGUAUUAAAAUGAAUUAAAUAAUUCACAAAAAAAGCCUAAGCAACUCAAUGUAUUUAUUUCAAUGCUGAUGGUAGUACUUAUUUUAAAUGAAAUAAAAUUAAUUAGUGGGUUUGGAAUAAAAAUUAUUUCUUAUAUUUGUUAUUGUAGCACAAUUUAAUGUGUUUUAUAUGAAAUAAAAACGUGAUUAAAAAGUAAAAAUGUAUUGAAAAACAUAUUUGAGAUUUUUUUAGUUUUUUUAAAUGUAGAACUCAAACAAAAUACAAAGCAAUGAUGAAUAUGGCAUAAAACUAAUGAAUAAUACUUUAUUGACUCAUGAAAAUCUUGUAAAAGUUGCAAGCUAAAUGAAAAUUAUUAAAAUCAAUCCGUUUACAAUAUAAAAGAAAAAAAGAUAAGCGAUGGAAAAUUGUGCAGAUGUUUUAAGAAUUUUUAAAUUCUUUUUUCUCCGUAAUACAAUUUUUCAAUUUUUUGGUAUUAUACCAUCUUUUAUUUUUUAAAAUUUUCAAAAUCAUGUGACUUUGUGCUUUUUUCUAAUAAGAUGUUUCAUAUUCCAAUUAAAAGCAUAGUAUUAUUCUAAAACUAUUGUGUAAGGGCAUUAAUAUCAGUUUGUUAAAAUUUUGGAUGGAUAAUUCAUCAUUAACAUUUGACUAAUCAAUGAAGGGGGCAAAGUGCAUAUAUUUAAAGUUAAGGUGGGUAAAGUGUUAUAAUGGUUCAACUUCAGGGAGGCAAACUGUAAUUAACCCUUUUUAAUAUUGCUUUUACACAUAAAAGGUAGCAAUGUUAUACAAAUUAUUAUUUGAGGGGAGCUAUGUGAGAUUUCUAAAAUUUUAGGAGUGUUAGGUGACAUUAGGAUAAAAGUUUGAAGGCGAUAGGAAAAGUCGUUCAUCGAGGGUUUCCAAGACUAGAAAAUGCACACACAUUUUACUAAUACUAAAAUACUAGUUGAAAAUGCUGGUCCGGUUAAGUUGGUUGAAUGCGCUGGUCCAGUCAUCUUUUGACAAGUUGAAAACUAUACACCGCGUAACAGAAAGUCUCGACCAAUGCCGUCAACACAUGCAUGCGAAGAAAGACCAUUCCCCAGUCUCCACGGCUUUAUGCUUUAUUUUAACCGCAAGUCCGCAAGGCCAAUUUUCUAUCCUACUCCAAUUCCGCAUGAUCCUAUUCUAUUCAAACUCAUCCCGUUUGAUUAGUAUCCAAGCUUUCCCAGCUUUUUAUAAGAAUAUAACUAAACUAGAAGAUCUAGAAUACAAUGACAGGAAUAGGAUACUUCCUUCCUAGUUCCCCAAACCAGCCCCACCAACCCCCACCCCCCCCCCCCAAAAAAAAAAAAAAAAACUGGAUGCUUUCACAUUUUGAAGCAUUGCAGAUUAUAUUAGCAAAUUAAUAUACGUGGUCGGUCUUUGGUACAACACCAGUAUAUAUUUUAAGGGCAUUACUUGUAUCCGUAGCAAUGAGUAUUGGAAGAGUCAAGAGCCAAUGAGUGUCUCUACACUCUUGAAUCAUUGAGAAAAAGUUGUGUUUGGAUUGCCUUUUCUAAAAUUUGUUGUAGAAAAAUUACUGUAAUGAUUUGAUGUAUGUAAAAAAAAAUAAUAAUAAAAAAAUGUGAUCACGAAAAAACAAGGCAGCUUGUUUAGAAAUCCAUUCCGAUCAAGUAAAAUAAAGAAAUUCUUGAACGCUUUAGAAGCUUAAAGAAGGUAUAAAAUUCACGCCGCUUCCUGAUUAAAGCCUCUCAAUUUGUUCAUCGGAAAGCGAAAUUGUUUUAAUAGAAGAGACAGAAACACAAACGGAGGAGAAUGAGAUAAUUUAUUCAAUCAAUCAAGACGCUAAAGGUGAAAGGAGAAGAAAAAGAAAAAUAUACGAAACCCGGGAAAGGAAGGGAGGAGGAGGAAUGGGGGGUUGUCUCUAUUCAGGUUUCCGAGCAACUGGACUGGCCACCUGAGUAAACAAGUAGGGGCUUCCUGUCAAAUUCUUUUCUCUACCGUGUUAAGGUGAUUUUUCUAUUCCAGAAAAAGAAAAUGGUAAUUGUGAAACUAACCAAAAUGACCAACUUCUCAAGAACAUACUCAGGUUGCAGAGUGACGUAAAUCAGAAUUGCUCAAGUCCAUGUACAUCAAAUUGUUUCUUUCAUCUUUUCCAGUAUUUUCUUUAAAACCAAACUUCAACAACUAUGAUAUAACAAUACCCACAUGAGAUGCGCUAGUAGAAGAUUGGAAUCUUGAUGGUCCCAUUGCCUCCAAUGCCAUCCUCGAGACACCACCGCAAUUGUGUUACUUGGCGAGGGUGGGCAGCGCAAUGUCAGCAACC
rnacentral:lncRNA from 1 species